rnacentral:rRNA from 1 species
GCAAGUCGAGCGAGAAAGCACUUCGGUGCGAGUACAGCGGCGGACGGGUGAGUAACGCGUAGGAAUCUACCUGGUAGUGGGGGACAACUUGUGGAAACGCACGCUAAUACCGCAUACGCCCUACGGGGGAAAGCGGGGGAUCUUCGGACCUCGCGCUAUUAGAUGAGCCUACGUUAGAUUAGCUAGUUGGUGGGGUAAAGGCCUACCAAGGCGACGAUCUAUAGCUGGUCUGAGAGGAUGAUC